rnacentral:rRNA from 1 species
GACAGAGGGUGCAAACGUUGCUCGGAAUUACUGGGCGUAAAGCGCGUGUAGGCGGGCUGAUAAGUCGGACGUGAAAUCCCUGGGCUCAACCCAGGAACUGCAUCCGAAACUGUCAGUCUGGAGUGGUGGAGAGGGAAGCAGAAUUCCUGGUGUAGAGGUGAAAUUCGUAGAUAUCAGGAGGAACACCGGUGGCGAAGGCGGCUUCCUGGACACUAACUGACGCUGAGACGCGAAAGCGUGGGGAGCGAACAGG